ACUUUUGGGAGACGUGGGUGCUUCAUUGAAGGGUGAUACUGGGCCGAGAGGUCCUCCAGGAAUCCCUGGUAGGGAGGGACCAAAGGGAAGCAAAGGUGAACGUGGAUUUCCUGGACUUUCUGGAGAGAAAGGUGAUGAGGUAAAAUUAUUUUAAUUUCAAUAAUCAUUAUAUUACAAUUAUUCUUAUGUGUACAUGAAUAAAGGUCCAAAUUGAGAAUUAAAUACA
rnacentral:lncRNA from 1 species